GACGGAGGAUGCAAGUGUUAUCCGGAAUCACUGGGCGUAAAGCGUCUGUAGGUGGUUCGAAAAGUCCACUGUUAAAAAUUGAAGCUUAACUUCAAAGAUGCCGUGGAAACUUUCAGACUAGAGUGUGGUAGGGGUAGAGGGAAUUUCCAGUGGAGCGGUGAAAUGCGUAGAUAUUGGAAAGACCACCGAUGGCGAAGGCACUCUACUGGGCCAUUACUGACACUGAGAGACGAAAGCUAGGGGAGCAAAUGGG
rnacentral:rRNA from 1 species